UGAAGUGUGAAGACAACCACUGGCCUUUCCCUUUUUUGAAAAAUUUGUGCUUUUGACAUACCCAGAAGGCCAGUUCAUAGAAAAAUGCUUUUCUGCCCUUUUGCUUCCCUGACACUUCCAAGUAGUCAAAAUUCACAGUGAAACCCAAUGGAUGAACAUCACAGUAGUCUCUAAAUUCAUGUAGUGUUACAAGUUUUCCGUUUGUGUUCUGUUUGGGAACUCAGGAGCACAUUAACAGUAGCAGGAGUCCUCAAGACAUGAUGUCAGUAUGGCUGGUCUCUUUUUUUUUCUUUUCUUGCCCUCCUCCUUUGUGACUUGCAGCAGUUAGUCUGGGUCCUGCUCCCAGAAGAGGAACACGUGUGACCUGACACAUUACACAUUCUUCUCAGCCCCACUCCUGCCAGCCUCAGGGCUUUUUUAUCCUGCAAGUCAGUGACCACGUAGGAGAUGAAGGACAAUGAGGCAUGUACACGAGGCUCCUGGGAAAACACUGUUUGCAGGCUCCCAGGACGUCUGUGAGAGCAGAGGUGCUGAGCUGAGCUAAGAGAAGAACCGCAUUGCCUCAUGAACCGAAGGGCAGCGACGUGCUACACAGACUGCAGCGAGGGACUUCGGAUACAGCAGGAGACCUGGCUCACUGAGCAUUCGUCCAGCCUUUGUACAUCGUUGUACCUCUCUCUUGCACACGGCUGCUGCAGCGUGGAAGGGGAAUGAAGCUGGAGGGUGGUUUCCAUCAUCCCGGGACGCAUCCACGGCGAUUGUUCCAGCAGCAGCAGCAGAUGAACCUGAACCUGGCGGCCGAACUGAGCCCUCCAGUGCAUCUACAGAGGAGCAGCAGGUGCAGGUUUCUGGCCUCU